UACGUAGGGAGCAAGCGUUGUUCGGAUUUACUGGGCGUAAAGGGCGCGUAGGCGGCGACUCAAGUUAGAUGUGAAAGUCCUGGGCUUAACCUGGGGACUGCAUUUGAUACUGGGUUGCUUGAAUUCGGGAGAGGAUAGCGGAAUUCCCAGUGUAGAGGUGAAAUUCGUAGAUAUUGGGAAGAACACCGGUGGCGAAGGCGGCUAUCUGGACCGACAUUGACGCUGAGGCGCGAAAGCGUGGGGAGCAAACAGG
rnacentral:rRNA from 1 species